rnacentral:rRNA from 1 species
CCUACGGGUGGCAGCAGUGGGGGAUAUUGCACAAUGGGGGGAACCCUGAUGCAGCGACGCCGCGUGGGUGAAGAAGCGCCUCGGCGCGUAAAGCUCUGUCAGCAGGGAAGAAAAUGACGGUACCUGAAGAAGAAGCCCCGGCUAACUACGUGCCAGCAGCCGCGGUAAUACGUAGGGGGCAAGCGUUAUCCGGAUUUACUGGGUGUAAAGGGGGCGUAGGCGGGGAUGCAAGUUGGGUGUCAAAACUACCGGCUCAACCGAUAGUCGCACUCAAAACUGCAGCUCUUGAGUGAAGUAGAGGCAGGCGGAAUUCCUGGUGUAGCGGUGAAAUGCGUAGAUAUUAGGAGGAACACCAGUGGCGAAGGCGGCCUCUGGGCUUUUACUGACGCUGAGGCUCGAAAGUGUGGGGAGCAAACAGGAUUAGAUACCCUUGUAGUC